rnacentral:sRNA from 1 species
CCGCAAUGUGGAACAAAAGGGUGGU